rnacentral:sRNA from 1 species
CGCUAUCCAGCCCACGCGCAGCCUGCCUG